GAGGCGGAGUUUCCAUAAAAGUAAGACCACCCUCCACGGCAGAUUUGCAAUGCACCAGAACCCUCUUAAGGAAGAUGUGGAGAACUUGGGAGAACACAGGUGAAUGCUUGUUAGGAAGAGAUGGAAGCUGACAGCACUGUCCCGUUGUGAAGAACCUGCUCUUGUGUCUGUCUGACAGCAGUGCAUAGAAAUACCUAAGUAGUGCUUUCCUAAGUCGUUAGUGCAGGAUCUGUUUCCUCACGUGUUGUUAGAGAGACAGCUCAGGGCAGAAGGGACCUACGGGAAGGGCGGCACUGCCCUAGGCACCUAGUGUGGGCCCCACCAUAAUCCUCGCCCAGGCCGGUUCUCACAGGGAUAUAUCUUCAUGAAUCUGCAACUCAAACUAGACAGAGCGUACAAGACCAAAAACAGGAAGAAAGAUGGCCUUCUUGGUUCCCAACCCUAGAACUGUUGCUUGGCACCCCCACAGCUGUGUCUUCAAGCUAAAAAGAAUACUUCAAGCAAAAGUACUGAGCCCGUGAGAGUACUUCAUCGCUGAAGCUGGCUCAGACACCCUACCUGCCCGUCCUGCUCCACUCCAAGCCAGCAGAAACAGUUUAGGAAGGGAAAGGCUCUUGGCUCAGUUUCAGAUGACUGCAGUCCGUCACUACAGAAGGCGUCACAAAGCAUCUCCAAUCACAUUGGUGAGCGCCUGUGACGAAGGCUUUCACAUCAAAAUAGCUUAGGAAGCUGUGGGCAAAGAAAGAACCCUGGCCAAGUGCGGCUUUCCCACCUAGUGGCCUAGUCCACCGCCUAGGCCCCACCUUCCAAUGUGACACCACCGACUGGGGGCCGGGAUUCUAAACAAGAAUCUGGGACUGACACUUUAACGUGAAAUGUGACAAACACCCUCAUCCCAAAGGACAGGUGGUGAUGGGUAACAAGGAGGUGUUGCCUAAGAGGGACAUUCUGAGAGUCAAGCCGCAUGCUCCAUCGGGUUCUCUGAUGAAGAAAUCAUCCUAAGCCCAGGACCAGAGAAGCUCUGACAUCCAGAAAUCUAAGGGAAGCUGAUCACCAGAUCUGCUGAGACCCGAGAUCCACCUGACACUGAAGAAAUAACGGAAAUGCAGAGGGAAACGUUUUGAGAAUUUAUUGGUAGGAUGUAUCCAGUGUGGAAGCCCUAGUUAAUAACUAUCAUGGCCUUUGUAUGUCAUCCGAUAAAAGAACUGCCUUUAUAGUGAAUGAUAAAUUCAUUCAACAACUUUAAUAAAUAUUCUAGAAAAAGUGAAACGUGGAAAAUUUAUGUGGAUACGUGUGUGUCGUAAAUUAAGUAGCUUGCUCAGCCUCUUCACAAACUCACCCUGUAACAUGAGUUCUAAUAGAUCUUAAAAAUAAAAGCCUGGAGUAUAUAGGGGAGAUAGAGCUGAGAGAUCAGAGAGGAGGAGCAUGCUAAAGCCUUUACCUCAUGAGCUUCCCGUUGGAACAGAGAGCUGGUUCCUGUCUCCUCCCGCCUAUACACCUUUCUCCUCCCAGCCGUCUCACUUCCUGUCUGUCUGUGCAGACCUCCAGACCUCUGUGGUUACAGAGUGGCUAGCUCCACUGAUCUUCACACACUCUCCACUGGUACAAACAAGAUACCACCACAUCGCACUACCUGUGUAGACACUUAUACAUGUUAGAGCAUAAUUUAAGGCCAGCCUAAUGAUUUCACUACCAAGUACCCUAAGCAAUGAACUGUAAAACUGCCAUAGGUUUCCUACAAUUUCAUCUUUCCUUCUGACAUUAACAGAAUUUAUCAGGCAGUAAUUCUGAUAAGAAUGUAAACAAAACAAAAAAUGUAACUGUGGGGUUAGUGAGGAAGAUAAAGCAAGAGAUUAUUUGUAAUUUAUAACUGCCAAUUGUAAUUUGUAAUUCCAAAAAUAUUAUCAGAGUAAAAAGAUAAAAAAAUUAAUGUAUUAGCAUAGAAAUGUUUUUCACUAGAAAUCAUAAUUUAUUAUGUUUGGAAGUGAUUAAGAAGUUUG